AAAUCUUCCCAUCUAAAGUCUGGUUUAUAGUUGAGCCUGUUAAGCAGUUCUCCCAGUUUGCACUCUAAUGCUGAUUCUGAAGAACUGAGUCUGUUGAGUCUGUACAGUGGAUAAAGAAAUACUUCAGGUGUGAGGUUGGGAGGAGGGAGCCUGUGUGCUGAGCAACCCAAGUUAAGCAUAUUGCAAGAUAGAUCAACAGCAGAAGCCAUCCAACAGAUUCCACGGUGGUUUGCAGAGAUUAUACAGAAGCACAAGGAAAGCAUUUAAACUCCUUGGAGGUUGUACCAUGCCUGGAGGCAGUGGUGCUGACUAUUGCACCUGUAUGGACACAUAUAUUCUAUCUCUGUCUCCUGACUCUCGCCUUCUAUGUAUUAACAAGCAACAUUGCUAGAAGCCAUCGUUCCAUUAGGGUUGGACCUACUUUGCAAUGUGUAACUAUAGAAGGAAUUCUAUUUAUGGGCUUGUAAUCGAUUGUCAGAAGAAUUAUAUAAGGAAGCUGCUCUCUAUGCUGCAACUGUAUAGCUUUCAACCUCCAAGAUAUGAAUAUAAAACCUCAGGUUAAUAUAAAACCUCAGGAAAUGGCAAAUAUUUGGUGCCUAUAAAUAAACCAUUGAUACUGGCAUGCUUCUGGUGGGCAAUACUUUCUGUUUCAGAGAUUAAGAAAGCAUCCCCUAUAUAUUCACAAACUGUGAAUAAUUUAAAGAAAACAGAACGUGUAACCACAGAAGCAUUUUACAAGUUCUUUUCUAUCCCAGCUCAUGUGAAGUUGAGGCAGCUGUGGAACUCUUAUGUGUAGCUAAUGAGCCAUAGUGUGGGACAUCUUCCAAGAUUCUGCCACUCCACUCGCAGCGAGAUAUUUUCCUAAAGAGCACUGUUAAUAGAUCUGCAAGGGGUUUUGCCUACUCAUUUUUUUUAGAUAUGGAUUCCUGAAAGCAGCUGCCCAAAUUAGACUCGCAUGCAAGAAUUUCAUUUUGUAAAGGUAAACUGUGGUAAAUCAAAUUAUUGAGGCUAAAUGUAAAUGUAUGCACAUGCGGCUCCCAGUUGCAUACUUCUUGGAGCAAUUCAGAGGACUAUUAAUCAAGCUGAAUAUUAGAUUUUUUUGGAUCAGACUUUAUUUUCUUUUCGAGGCCUUGUACAAAUGUUUACUGGUCACUUAAAAAGAAUUCACCAUUAAUAGAAAAUACUGGGAAAUUUGACAAAAUAAAUUCUACAAAUGAAAAUCUUCUUCAGUGUUAAUCUUUCUCAUAGGCAUACACUAAUAUUUAAGCUACUGUAUUAACUUUAUAUGUUUAGAUAACCAGCAAAACUACAGAAAGACAUCUAAUAUACCAGCCAGUAUUAACUGGUACAAACCACUUUUUGAAUUUGGCAAAAAAUGUGUUCAUAAGUGCAAAGCUUAAUGCCAAAUCUGCUUUAUUGCAGAACAAACAAGAUAAUGAUUAACCAUAAAAAUAAAUAGAUAAUAUAAACCUGCCCACACUACUAC